rnacentral:rRNA from 1 species
GACAAACGCUGGCGGCGUGCAUAAAACAUGCAAGUCGGACGAGCCAAUCCCCGCAAGGGGAAAGGCUAGUGGCGAACGGCUGAGUAACACGUAGGUGAUCUGCCCUGAAGUGGGGGAUAACGACUCGAAAGAGUCGCUAAUACCGCAUGUGACCAUCGAUUCGUUUUCGAUGCUCAAAGUCGUAAGACGCUUUAGGAGGAGCCUGCGGCGGAUUAGCUAGUUGGUGAGGAAUGGCCCACCAAGGCUUCGAUCCGUAGCUGGUCUGAGAGGAUGACCAGCCAGACUGGGACUGAGACACGGCCCAGACUCCUACGGAGGCAGCAGUUAGGAAUUUUGCGCAAUGGGGGAAACCCUGACGCAGCCACGCCGCGUGCGGGAUGAA